CUUCUGAAGAAAGGGAAGAAUCUCCUUCCUGAAGUUGAUUAGAAUGAUCUGCAUAUUGAUUUUCAAGACAUCACAGACAGAACAGAAAACCAGAGAGCUUGGAUAAGAGGCUGCGACUGUGGGGUCUGAGCAAAAGGAAGGAGCUGGUCGCGAAGAACGAGGUCAUUGUCCAAUCUGCUCUUUAUUGUAUCAGAGAACCUCUCGCCAAUGGAGAACCCCAUUUGGGCUCUUGCGGGUGCAAGUAACAGCUAUUGUAAUGGCGGCUGCGGCUUCUUCCUUGUCCACAUGCUCA